rnacentral:rRNA from 1 species
UACGUAGGGUGCGAGCGUUGUCCGGAAUUAUUGGGCGUAAAGGGCUCGUAGGCGGUUUGUCGCGUCGGGAGUGAAAACCAGGUGCUUAACACCUGGCUUGCUUCCGAUACGGGCAGACUAGAGGUAUUCAGGGGAGAACGGAAUUCCUGGUGUAGCGGUGAAAUGCGCAGAUAUCAGGAGGAACACCGGUGGCGAAGGCGGUUCUCUGGGAAUAUCCUGACGCUGAGGAGCGAAAGUGUGGGGAGCGAACAGG